rnacentral:rRNA from 1 species
GACGAACGCUGGCGGCGUGCUUAACACAUGCAAGUCGAACGGAAAGGCCCUGCUUUUGUGGGGUGCUCGAGUGGCGAACGGGUGAGUAACACGUGAGUAACCUGCCCUUGACUUUGGGAUAACUUCAGGAAACUUGGGCUAAUACCGGAUAGGAGCUCCUGCUGCAUGGUGGGGGUUGGAAAGUUUCGGCGGUUGGGGAUGGACUCGCGGCUGAUCAGCUUGUUGGUGGGGUAGUGGCUUACCAAGGCUUUGACGGGUAGCCGGCCUGAGAGGGUGACCGGCCACAUUGGGACUGAGAUACGGCCCAGACUCCUACGGGAGGCAGCAGUGGGGAAUAUUGCACAAUGGGCGGAAGCCUGAUGCAGCAACGCCGCGUGCGGGAUGACGGCCUUCGGGUUGUAAACCGCUUUCGCCUGUGACGAAGCGUGAGUGACGGUAAUGGGUAAAGAAGCACCGGCUAACUACGUG